rnacentral:rRNA from 1 species
UAGGGAAUCUUCCACAAUGGACGCAAGUCUGAUGGAGCAACGCCGCGUGAGUGAAGAAGGUUUUCGGAUCGUAAAGCUCUGUUGUUGGUGAAGAAGGAUAGAGGCAGUAACUGGUCUUUAUUUGACGGUAAUCAACCAGAAAGUCACGGCUAACUACGUGCCAGCAGCCGCGGUAAUACGUAGGUGGCAAGCGUUGUCCAGAUUUAUUGGGCGUAAAGCGAGCGCAGGCGGAAUGAUAAGUCCGAUGUGAAAGCCCACGGCUCAACCGUGGAACUGCAUCGGAAACUGUCAUUCUUGAGUGCAGAAGAGGAGAGUGGAACUCCAUGUGUAGCGGUGGAAUGCGUAGAUAUAUGGAAGAACACCAGUGGCGAAGGCGGCUCUCUGGUCUGCAACUGACGCUGAGGCUCGAAAGCAUGGGUAGCGAACAGGAUUAGAUACCCUGGUAGUCCAUGCCGUAAACGAUGAGCGCUAGGUGUUGGGGACUUUCCGGUCCUCAGUGCCGCAGCAAACGCAUUAAGCGCUCCGCCUGGGGAGUACGACCGCAAGGUUGAAAC